CACGUAGGGCGCAAGCGUUGUCCGGAAUUAUUGGGCGUAAAGAGCUCGUAGGCGGCUUGUCGCGUCGGAUGUGAAAGCCCGGGGCUUAACCCCGGGUCUGCAUUCGAUACGGGCAGGCUAGAGUGAUGGUAGGGGAGAUCGGAAUUCCUGGUGUAGCGGUGAAAUGCGCAGAUAUCAGGAGGAACACCGAUGGCGAAGGCAGGUCUCUGGGCCUUGCCUGACGCUGAGGCGCGAAAGCUAGGGGAGCGAACAGG
rnacentral:rRNA from 1 species